GCUGUUUCUAUUUAUUUCUUUCUCAAUUUAGUUUUUCUGCUGCUUUUGCUGCCUCUUGUCGUUGUAUUUAAGAGUUUUGUUGUUCUUUUUAUUUUGUGAGCUCUAGUUUCCAAGGACUCUAUAGUGGGUUUGGAUAGUUUCUUGGUUGUAAGAGUUGUAAUUUUUUUUAAUGAUGACUCCUAAUUAAAGGUCGAAUGAUGUUGAUAGUUUAUUAAUUGGUAUGUAAUUUUGCUUUCAUUUUAGUGGCUUCAUUGGAUUUCAAAUUGGAAGGAACUUUAUUUGCAGCAGUUUGCAAGAGGUACCUCUCUAUUAUGAUGGGAUUGGGGGCAUACGUUUGUCAUUAAAACUUUCUGACUCUAGCCAAACACCUAUAGAGAUUGGAUUGGAUCUGGAGAAAUUGUUGCAGAAGGUUAUUUUAUUUCAAGUGACCCAAAGGAUGAGGUUCACCAUGUUCCUCUUGGGCCUAGUGCUAUGAAAGUAGGGAUAGAUCUUGUGAGAAAGAAUGAUGCAUUUCUGUGGAGGCCUUCAACAGUUAUGUCUACUAUAGAAGAUGCUAUAGGUAGUAUAAUUGCAUGGCCAGCUGAUAAAGUUAUAAUU